AUGAGGGGCGGCGGCCGGGGAGGAGGGGGCGGCGGGAGGGGGCAGCAGCAGCAGGCCCGCGGGGCCGCGGCGGCGGGGGACGGGGCGGAGAUCCCGCAGGCCUCGCGGAAGCUCGUGCAGGGGCUCAAGGGGAUCCUCGCCGACCGCACCGAGGCCGAGAUCUACGCCACGCUCCUCGACUGCGCCAUGGACCCCGACGUCGCCGUCGAGCGCCUCAUCUCCCAAGAUCCCUUCCAUGAAGUGAGGAGAAAGCGUAGCAACAAAAAGGAGGUAAAAGCUCCUCAGGAAACAAGGUCUCGCCCCUUCUAUAAACCUGCAUACCGAGGUUCUAAGGUUGGCUCGGAUCGAGGUGGACGUGUUUACUCUGGUCCGGGAGACUCAACUGCUAGCGCUAAAGGUCCUAUCAAGAAGGAAACAGAGUUACUUCCGCCACCAAACACAUCAACCUCUGAUGCUGUCAAGGAUAGCAAUCCUAUGGAAACAAUUUCAGAAGCUGGUAAUUUAGCUGAUGCGAAGUCUACCAGUUUCCAGCCUCCGCAAGUGCAGCAUGGUUGGGGUGGGGUGCCAGGGCGCCCUUCUUUGGCUGAAAUAGUGAAGAUGGGCAGGCCUCAAGCUAAAUCUGGGGCCAGACCGGUUGCAAAUAAUGCUGCCAAGCCAGUUGGUGGUUCAGUCGCUGCCAAUGCAAAUCUUAACACAGUUUUGCCGUCAGAAGGGGACCGUGUCACAGCUGAGAAAUUACCAAAUGGCACUAUUCAGUCCCCCUCUGUACCUAAGGAGGACUCUGUUGGCAUAUUACCUCCAGGACAGGGGUCUGAUGUGCCAGAAGGCAUCGGUGCUGCUUCCGCAAAUGUGAGCGCACCAAGAUCAUUUACCCUGGAGGUCAAGAAUGACGACGCUGGAGAUGCCAACGAGCAAACUAAGGAGACAAGUGGAAGCAAUGCCACUGGCCUAACAUCUCCAGGACCAUUAUCCCCGUCUGAUAAAGGCACGAUCUUGAAUAAUGACUUGAUAGAGAAAACAGAUGUCUAUCUCUCUGAUGAACAUUCAUUUGAACACAACCAAAAUGCAGAUUCAAAUGGUGAUAUGUCUACUACAGCGUAUGAGUUGGAACACUUGACUAUACAUGAGGAAAACAGACCAAAACCAUCUGAUGAUAACCCAGCUGUAAUAAUCCCAGGCCAUCUUCAGGUUUCCAAUGCAGAUUUUGCGCACUUGACAUUCGGUAGUUUUGUGUCUGGGACACUUGAUGCGCCAUGCUCCAUGAUGCCUGCCAAUAGUGACGUGGAGGUCGCAGCAGUUCCUGAUAACCAGUCAGGGGACCAAUGUGAUGCCAGAAUCCACGAAUUUGAAAACAAGGAGACAGUAACUCCUGCAGCCAACGAGUACAUUGCUUCUGCACCAGAUAGUAAUGCAGAGAAUCCUGAUAUUACAUCAGCACAACAGUCUGAAGUGGGAAGAGCUGAUUCACUGGAUGUUACAAACAACACCGAAUACAAUUUAUCAUCUGAUUAUGCCACGUCAAGUGCAGUACAACCAGAGCCUACCGUGCAGACUUAUCUGCAGGACAAUCGUCAAAUGCAAAACAUUUCUCCCCUCUCUAACUUCAUGCAAGGAAAUAUGCCAAAUGGCCUAUUGCCACCAGCAAUACCGCCUUUCCGUGAGUUGGAUCCAGCAUUCUCGCUGCUGCUUACUAACCCUCCAUUGGCUACAAUGGUUCAUGGUACACCACAAUCGUCCGUGAACAAUGCAACUGUUCCUUCACAGCCACAAGAGAAUGUUAAUCAAGGUGGUUUAUCCAACCCACAGUUGACCCACUCUCAGGGAAGCACCGGCAUUGCUCCAGGUCCUCCUUUGCCUCACCAUCUUGCUGCGCUUCAUCCUUAUGCUCAAGGAGGUCUUCCCCUUGGAUAUGCAAGCAUGAUCGGAUACCCAUCUUUACCGCAAAGCUAUGCGUAUCUCCCGCCUGCUGCCUAUCAGCAACCAUACAUGAACAGCGGUCUAUUCCACCAAGGCGCAGCUGCAGCUCCCAACUCGGGCGUAAAAUACCCAAUGCCACAAUACAAGAGCAGUGUUCCUCUUGGGAGCCUUCCACAGCCAGCCUCGAUGCUCUCCAACUACGUUGGAGGUUUCGGGACUGCAAAUGGCAUGCCUCAAAACUUUGCCCUGAACCAAAGCAAUCCGUCGGCAACCACAGCUCCUGGGUUUGAUGGAGCAAUGCCCUCCCAAUACAAGGAUGGAAACCCCUACAUGUCUCUACAGCAGGGCGAGAACCCUGCAAUGUGGAUGCAUGGAGCUGGUUCGCGAGGAAUGCCGCCUCUUGCUGCCAACCCCUUGUAUGGCUAUCAAGGGCAGCAAGGCUACCAGGGGCAGCAGGGCCAUCAGGGCGGCCUUAGGCAGGGGCAGAUGCCGUCGCAGUACGGCGCAGCGCUCGGGCAGUCGCAGCCAGGCCUAGGACCUGAACACCGAAACCCCAGCGACGGAAACUUGAGUGCUGCCGCCGCCGCCCAGGCUAACCAAAUGUGGCCGAAUGGCUACUGA
rnacentral:rRNA from 1 species